rnacentral:rRNA from 1 species
UGGGGAAUAUUGCACAAUGGGCGCAAGCCUGAUGCAGCCAUGCCGCGUGUAUGAAGAAGGCCUUCGGGUUGUAAAGUACUUUCAGUCGGGAGGAAGGUGGUAAGGUUAAUAACCUUAUCAAUUGACGUUACCGACAGAAGAAGCACCGGCUAACUCCGUGCCAGCAGCCGCGGUAAUACGGAGGGUGCAAGCGUUAAUCGGAAUUACUGGGCGUAAAGCGCACGCAGGCGGUUGAUUGAGUCAGAUGUGAAAUCCCCGGGCUUAACCCGGGAAUUGCAUCUGAUACUGGUCAGCUAGAGUCUUGUAGAGGGGGGUAGAAUUCCAUGUGUAGCGGUGAAAUGCGUAGAGAUGUGGAGGAGUACCGGUGGCGAAGGCGGACCCCUGGACAAAGACUGACGCUCAGGUGCGAAAGCGUGGGGAGCAAACAGG